CACGUAGGGCGCAAGCGUUGUCCGGAAUUAUUGGGCGUAAAGAGCUCGUAGGCGGUCUGUUGCGUCCGCUGUGAAAACUCGGGGCUUAACCCCGAGCCUGCAGUGGAUACGGGCAGACUAGAGGUAGGUAGGGGAGAAUGGAAUUCCUGGUGUAGCGGUGAAAUGCGCAGAUAUCAGGAGGAACACCGGUGGCGAAGGCGGAUCUCUGGGCCAUUACUGACGCUGAGGAGUGAAAGCGUGGGGAGCGAACAGG
rnacentral:rRNA from 1 species